ensembl:lncRNA NTRAS non-coding transcript regulating alternative splicing
UCAAAGUGUUUUAAAUUCAGUUAAUAAACCACUUAUUCCCUGGAAACAGCUCCUGUCAUGGCACAGCCCACUUCAGGAAAAGUUGUACCAGGCAGCCUGUGAGAACAUUUUCAAUAGAAAUGAGUGGACCAGGAACAAAUUUUAUUCCUACUCAAUGGCUGUGUUUUCUUUGGCAGAAGCUAGACCAAGUUUCACAUCACAGUUGAGAGGAGACGUGCAUAGGAACUGCGUCAUCUGGUUCCACACUCGCUCCAGUGAUGUUUGAGCCCCAGCAUAGAUCAGCAUGCCAGGAAGCAGCCCACCGGACCCACCCCUGAUCAUGGCACUGGACAUUGUUUUCCGUGCUUUUCUCAGGCUGGUUUCUGCCUGUCCCAACCCUGGCCAUGGCUGACAAGGGGCCCAGGGACACUGGAGCAGAGAGACCUGCUGGUCCUUGGGGUUUCUUGCAAGGUAGGACUCUACAUCCUCCCUUGGGAACUAAUUGAUCUGUCAGUAAAAUGUAAACUUCUGACUCCAUGGGUCUGUGAAUCAGCUGCCUCUAAAGGGAAAUAUCCCAGGAGUGAUGAAAACUUGAAGAUCGAGGAUUGGAUAUAAGCUCAGAGGUGAAGGAGGGAAAUUCCUCGGGUCAACUUUAGCGGACUGAUCCACGGGGUCUGCCAAGAGACAGGAGCUCGAGGGUUAAACCCAAGCACUCGGGAGUCAGAUGUAUGAAUCUGAAUCUCAGCCUCUCGGCUUGCUGUGUAAUCUCAGAGUGAAUCAUCUGUGAACACUUCCUGUGAACGUGUGACUAUGAUUAUGGAACACUCUGUUGCAUCAAGAUGGCCAGAGAUUGUCUCAGAGUCCAGGCAGUGGGAGGAGGGGGGAUUUGUUUCCUGGCUGGGUGGUCGUAGGGCAUCAAGGGAUGAGCAGCUUUGGUUGUCUGGGAUUUCAGCAGCUUGAGGGGAGCUGUAGGGCCCCAGAGCUGUCGCUGUGGCUGUGGUGUCAGAAAUGUAAGCAAGGUGCCUCCAUGGAGGUUAGCGAGGGUGCCCCUCUGAAUGCCGGGUGGAAUGCAACCUUUCGCAUGGAGGAGGCCCUCAGCAGCUGACCUCUGUCUUCCCUGUGUAGAGGGAGGGAGGCUGAGGCUGGGGCUGAGCGAGGGGUAAAGUAAGCCACGUGUCUCAUCAGCUAGCCUGCAGCAAGCACAGCCCUCUGGGAGGGCUGGUUCUAUCCUCCUCCUUGGUGUGAAAUCCAUCAAUCUAAUAGGGAUCCUUAUUUUCCCAGCCACCAAGUCACAAUGAGCAAUAAUCUCUUCUUGUUGGUGCAUAUAAAUUUGCUUCAUUCUUUUUUAAACAGCU